GAUGAACGUUGGCGGCGUGCCUAACACAUGCAAGUCGAACGAUCCCUUCGGGGAUAGUGGCGCACGGGUGAGUAACACGUAGCUUACCAGCCUCUCAGCGCGGGAUAACGGUUCGAAAGAGCUGCUAAUACCGCAUAAGCUCACGGGUUGUAGAGACCAGCGAGAAAAGGACUUAGGUCACUGAGAGACGGGGCUGCGGCCCAUCAGCUAGUUGGUGCGGUAACGGCGACCAAGGCGACGACGGGUAGGGACCUGAGAGGGUCGACCCCNCC
rnacentral:rRNA from 1 species